UAGGGAAUAUUGGACAAUGGGGGCAACCCUGAUCCAGCAAUGCCGCGUGAGUGAUGAAGGCCUUAGGGUUGUAAAGCUCUUUUACCCGGGAUGAUAAUGACAGUACCGGGAGAAUAAGCCCCGGCUAACUCCGUGCCAGCAGCCGCGGUAAUACGGAGGGGGCUAGCGUUGUUCGGAAUUACUGGGCGUAAAGCGCACGUAGGCGGCGAUUUAAGUCAGAGGUGAAAGCCCGGGGCUCAACCCCGGAAUUGCCUUUGAGACUGCAUCGCUAGAAUUGUGGAGAGGUAAGUGGAAUUCCGAGUGUAGAGGUGAAAUUCGUAGAUAUUCGGAAGAACACCAGUGGCGAAGGCGACUUACUGGACACAUAUUGACGCUGAGGUGCGAAAGCGUGGGGAGCAAAC
rnacentral:rRNA from 1 species